UACAGAGGUCUCAAGCGUUGUUCGGAUUCAUUGGGCGUAAAGGGUGCGUAGGCGGCGCGGUAAGUCGGGUGUGAAAUCUUGGAGCUUAACUCCGAAACUGCAUUCGAUACUGCCGUGCUUGAGGACUGGAGAGGAGACUGGAAUUUACGGUGUAGCGGUGAAAUGCGUAGAUAUCGUAAGGAAGACCAGUGGCGAAGGCGGGUCUCUGGACAGUUCCUGACGCUGAGGCGCGAAAGCGUGGGGAGCGAUCCGG
rnacentral:rRNA from 1 species